AGGAUUCAGUUAGAAAAAAACUGUUACUCUGGACCUGGGAGAGGAAAGGAGAGAUGUGUAGCUACAUCUUCCAGUAGCUCAUUUACCUAGAUACUAGCCUAUGAAUAUCUUUUGGCUGUGGUGAGGAGUUAUUCUUCAAUCAUCUUCUGGUCAGGGAUUGAGGAACUGACUUCAACUUGGAGAAUUACCAUCUGUGGACAUUUCACCUGGGAUUCCUGUUUUGGCUCCCCAGAGACUCUUUACUGACCUGGCCUUCUGGCUACUAUGCCAAGCUGCUUCUCUCCUUGCCACUGAACCAUGAAAAAACAGACUGGGGUUGCCUCAGGGAACUAAGGGGAUCUCUAUCUUCCUAGCUAAUAAUACCAUGGGAAUCUGGUCUUCUGAAAUAUCUGAAGCAUUCUGAGCUGGAAAGCUAAACUGGAGGGUCUCUCUGAACACUAGAGUUUUGCUUGGAAGGAUCUUGUGAGAGCCUCAUUACCUCUCACUUGGAGUACUGCAAUGGCCUAAUUGUUCUCUCUGCAACCAGUCUCUACCCUCUGCAACAUCUGUCAAAGUGGGUGGAGAGGGGGGAAGCUGAUGUAUGACCAAAUUACUCCUCAUGCUCAAGAAGAUUCAGUGGCUCCCUUUUCUCAAGGAUUAAAUGUAAAACUUCUCUGGCUCCAGA